UCCUACGGGGCGCAGCAGUGGGGAAUAUUGCACAAUGGGGGGAACCCUGAUGCAGCGACGCCGCGUGAGUGAAGAAGUAUUUCGGUAUGUAAAGCUCUAUCAGCAGGGAAGAAGAUGACGGUACCUGACUAAGAAGCCCCGGCUAACUACGUGCCAGCAGCCGCGGUAAUACGUAGGGGGCAAGCGUUAUCCGGAAUUACUGGGUGUAAAGGGAGCGUAGACGGUUAAGUAAGUCUGGAGUGAAAGGCCGGGGCCCAACCCCGGGACUGCUCUGGAAACUAUUUAACUUGAGUGCAGGAGAGGUA
rnacentral:rRNA from 1 species